CUGACAGUCAAUAUGGCGGCAGAUUUUAAGUGUUUUGCUGACAGCAUCGUUAAUAAUAUGCAAUAAUGAAUGCGUUCUUGUUGUCAAAACAUCUCCAGAUAUAAAUUGUUCAAUACCGGAGCACUUCUUCUUUUUUCUACAAAAAAUCAUUGCACAAAAGCUCGCUUUAAAGGGGCAAAAUGCCUCCAAAGCGCCGACUAAGAGGGGGUUCAAAUUCGAGCAAUUUAUUUCAUUAUAACAACCAAGUUGAAUUGACGUUUAAAGGUCAACCGAAGGAAGAGAUGUUGGAAAAAGUUACAGAAGUUGGAGAUUCGGGAUCCGAUGAUGAUAAUGAGAAUUUGCCUGUUCUUAGAAAGAAAGGGAAAAAGAAUGUGGACACGUCAAGUAGCUCUGAUUCCAGUAGUGCAAGUGAUAGUGACUCAGAACAAGUCACAAAUAAUGAGUAAGUCAUGUCUGUUGAAUAUGAGGGGAUUCAGAGGACCAAAAUGCGGUAUCGGGCCGAUUUUUGCCUUAUUGGUGGAAAAUCAGAAUUGGUGUAAAACCGAUAUUUGUUGAGAAAAUAUGCACGCCAGGGUGCAUU